UGCAAGGGUGGCGGAGCCCGGUCAAACGUGCCAGCUUCAGGGGUUGGUGGCCUAGCGUCUACGCAGGUUCAAAUCCUGCCCCUUGCAU
rnacentral:tRNA from 1 species